GGUCACUUCUGCAGCAACGUCAGUCCCCUGGAUGGAUCAGGUUUCCCCUGGGCCACAGCCCUGAUGAUGAUGAUGCCCCUGUACCUCUCGCAUGUGGGAGUCCGCGCGUUGCCUUUCCUGGUCAUCCCAUCCCAGGUCUCCAGUUUUGACAAUUGACCCUACAACAUGAGAAGGUAUCAGUUCUCCACGUACCAACCUUUGUGGGGUCCCCACUGCCAGCUGGCCAACAGGCAAGCAAUCUCCAAAAUCCCUCAUUGGAGCCUGUUUCCUAGGACCAUUGGUUGGGUCCCCUGAAGACAGCUCUGAAAUGGAGAUUUGUGGGCAGUUGUCAGUAGGCGAGAGCUCCAGGCCUCAGCGCUGUGAUGGAGGAGGGAAGCAGUGCUGGUGGAGGGAGCUCGAGCUGCCAUGUAGUUGCAACAGAAGCUUUGGCUAAUCCCACAAGGGGCUUCCGAGCUGGGACUGCCCUUGAGAGUUGCCCCACUUGAGGCAGGGGGAUGCUGGCCCUGUAACCCUGCAUCCGUCUGCCACUGGGUGCUGGCUGCCCUAGGAGGGUGAGCGUGCCCUUGGAUAGGGUGGCUCCCUUCAGCCAAGGGCAGUCCUCUGGAGGGGACACAGCUAUGACAGCCACCACUUCCGGCAGCUGGGGAAGGAACAUCUCAGUCUGCAGUGGGAUCUAGGGGGAGCAGCGGAGCAUCCAUCCCGGCAACCCCAGGCUUUUCAAAACACAGUGAGGUUCCCGGAAAUAAUUGUCCUUAAAAGGAAGAAAUCGGUUUCAGGAUGCAACUCACAGGUCCAUUCCAGAAGGUCAGGAGGUGCAGACGAGUUGAGCUGUUGACUCAGCUGAGAUUACACCCUGGAAGACCAGGCAAGACUGUGUCACUCUAUCGUCACUCUGGCAAAGCAACCAAACCUCAGAAAGACCCCUCCCUUGUUUCUUCCCUCCUUUUCUAACCUGCACAAAUGUUUACUGAUGCUUUCUGGGUGCUGGCACUGUGCUGGUCCUGAGGACAUGGAGGUGAACAAGCAGACACAGCACUCUCUCUUAGGAAGAUGGCACUCCAGCGGCUGACACAGGCAUUAAACUGACAAUUUCACACAGAACCUUGGGAUUACAAUCGUG
rnacentral:lncRNA from 1 species